UACCAGUACUCCUCAUAAAAAUUAAAAAAAAAAUUUAAUACGAGUAACAACAGGUUACAAUGAUCAUUUGAAAAUUGACAUCUAAGCUUAAAGACUGAGAGAAAUUUAUAGUGUUGUAAAAUAUAAAUUGAGGACUAAAUAUUACUACCAAAACUUAAUCUAACAUUGUGUUAUUUUAAACCAUACGAAUGUGGACAAGAAACUCCUCCUGAAUAAAUAUCUAUUUCGUAAGGUAACAAAGGAAGUAUGAAAAUCAAGGUAUGUUUGGAAGUGAGGUGUUGUAAUUUUUAAGCUGCAGCUGCUGUGAAGUAAAAAUUAUACCUGUAGAGUAGAAGUUAAAAAAAAAAAAUCUAUUAAGCUACCAAAACCCAACUAUAAAUGUUAUCAAAUACCUUAGUAACUGGAUUUUGACAACUUAACUACCUCACCACACUCCGAAACGGGCCCUCAAUUUGUACAUCAUAUAUCCAACUCAACUCAAUGAACAAGUAUGGGGAAGAGGGUGACUGAAGAAAGUCAAGAUCUCAAAUCAUGUGCGGCACAGGAGAUGGUCCAUUUCUAGCAAAAGCUGUGCGUCGCACAUGCUCAAACACCAAUUUUGCCAUACGUGAGCAUACAUCCCAUGUGUUUGAAGCCAAAAAAGGUGUCCAAAAUUAUGACUUUAUUAUGAAAGAGGAAAAAAAAAAAAAGAACUUGGCAAGAAAUCAAAAAUUAAUUUUACUUGUGGUGGAAUGGAAUGUAAAAAGAAUCGAUUAGUUGUGAUUGGGGGUGUAGGGACGGGAGUGUUUGGUUGAUGGAAAUUUUGAAAUCGAUGAAAUAAUUAUACGAACUUUGAAUUCAUUCAUUAUUAAUUGGUUUGAGUCUAGCUACCUAGGACUUCAGCUUAUUAAUUACCAACAUUUAUAACUAGCUAACAACAAUUCAUUGAUUAAUUAGCAUGACUUGUGGCGACACAAACGAUUUUUAUGUGUACACAAAUCAAUAAUGACCACAGAAAAUAUUAUGGAAAUCUAUCAAAUUCCUCUAAUCAUGAUUUUUAGAGAAAAUGAGCGAAGCCACUCUAUUUUUGUUUUCUUUAUUGGUGACAUUAAGCUUUCACAUUUUAAAAUCCACAAGAAACAUUAAGCUUUCACAUUUUAAAAUCCACAAGAACUCUCUA
rnacentral:lncRNA from 1 species